UAGCUCAGUGGUAGAGCACAUGCUUAGCGUGCACGAGGUCCUGGGUUCAAUCCCCAG
rnacentral:tRNA from 1 species